rnacentral:rRNA from 1 species
GGAUUCCCCUAGUAACUGCGAGUGAAGCGGGAAAAGCUCAAAUUUAAAAUCUGAGGGUUCCUCGUGGCCUUCCGAGUUGUAAUCUAGAGAAGUGCUAUCCGCGCUGGGCCGUGUACAAGUCUCCUGGAACGGAGCGUCAUAGAGGGUGAGAAUCCCGUCUUUGACACGGACUGCCAGGGCCUAUGUGAUGUGCUCUCAAAGAGUCGAGUUGUUUGGGAAUGCAGCUCUAAAUGGGUGGUAAAUUCCAUCUAAAGCUAAAUAUUGGCGAGAGACCGAUAGUGAACAAGUACCGUGAGGGAAAGAUGAAAAGAACUUUGGAAAGAGAGUUAAACAGUACGUGAAAUUGUUGAAAGGGAAACGCUUGAAGUCAGUCGUGUUGACCAGGAAUCAACCUUGCUCUUGCUUGGUGUACUUUCUGGUUAAUGGGUCAGCAUCAAUUGUGACCGGUGGAUAAAGGUCAGGGGAAUGUGGCAUCUUUGGAUGUGUUAUAGUCCUUGGUCGCAUACAUCGGUUGGGAUUGAGGAACUCAGCAUGCCGCAAGGCCGGGCUUAAAAACCACGUACAUGCUUAGGAUGCUGGCAUAAUGGCUUUAAUCGACCCGUCUUGAAACACGGACCAAGGAGUCUAACAUACACGCGAGUGUUUGGGUGGAAAACCCGAGCGCGUAACAAAAGUGAAAAUUGAGAUCCCUGUUGUGGGGAGCAUUGAUGCCCAGACCAGACCUUUUGUGACGGUUCUGCGGUUGAGCGCGUAUGCUGGGACCCGAAAGAUGGUGAACUAUGCCUGAAUAGGGUGAAGCCAGAGGAAACUCUGGUGGAGGCUCGUAGCGAUUCUGACGUGCAAAUCGAUCGUCAAAUUUGGGUAUAGGGGCGAAAGACUAAUCG